CAGUAGCCGCGGUAAUACGUAGGUGGCAAGCGUUGUCCGGAAUUAUUGGGCGUAAAGGGCUCGCAGGCGGUUUCUUAAGUCUGAUGUGAAAGCCCCCGGCUCAACCGGGGAGGGUCAUUGGAAACUGGGAAACUUAAGUGCAGAAGAGGAGAGUGGAAUUCCACGUGUAGCGGUGAAAUGCGUAGAGAUGUGGAGGAACACCAGUGGCGAAGGCGACUCUCUGGUCUGUAACUGACGCUGAGGAGCGAAAGCGUGGGGAGCGAACAGGAUUAGAUACCCCAGUAGUCCCUGUCUCUUAUAA
rnacentral:rRNA from 1 species